GGGUCAGUAGGUUGGUCGUGCCACCGGUACGUACUGGUCUCACUGACUCCUCCUUCCUGAAGAACCGUAAUGCCAUUAAUUUGGUGUUGCGGGGAAACAGGACUGUUACUUUGAAAAAAUUAGAGUGUUUAAAGCAAGCUAACGCUUGAAUACAUUAGCAUGGAACAGUGAAAUAGGACGAUCGAUCCUAUUUUGUUGGUUUCUAGGAUUGACGUA
rnacentral:rRNA from 1 species